GAUGUUAGCGGCGGACGGGUGAGUAACACGUGGGUAACCUGCCUGUAAGACUGGGAUAACUCCGGGAAACCGGAGCUAAUACCGGAUAGUUCCUUGAACCGCAUGGUUCAAGGAUGAAAGACGGUUUCGGCUGUCACUUACAGAUGGACCCGCGGCGCAUUAGCUAGUUGGUGGGGUAAUGGCUCACCAAGGCGACGAUGCGUAGCCGACCUGAGAGGGUGAUCGGCCACACUGGGACUGAGACACGGCCCAGACUCCUACGGGAGGCAGCAGUAGGGAAUCUUCCGCAAUGGACGAAAGUCUGACGGAGCAACGCCGCGUGAGUGAUGAAGGUUUUCGGAUCGUAAAGCUCUGUUGUUAGGGAAGAACAAGUGCGAGAGUAACUGCUCGCACCUUGACGGUACCUAACCAGAAAGCCACGGCUAACUACGUGCCAGCAGCCGCGGUAAUACGUAGGUGGCAAGCGUUGUCCGGAAUUAUUGGGCGUAAAGGGCUCGCAGGCGGUUUCUUAAGUCUGAUGUGAAAGCCCCCCGGCUCAACCGGGGAGGGUCAUUGGAAACUGGGAAACUUGAGUGCAGAAGAGGAGAGUGGAAUUCCACGUGUAGCGGUGAAAUGCGUAGAGAUGUGGAGGAACACCAGUGGCGAAGGCGACUCUCUGGUCUGUAACUGACGCUGAGGAGCGAAAGCGUGGGGAGCGAACAGGAUUAGAUACCCUGGUAGUCCACGCCGUAAACGAUGAGUGCUAAGUGUUAGGGGGUUUCCGCCCCUUAGUGCUGCAGCUAACGCAUUAAGCACUCCGCCUGGGGAGUACGGUCGCAAGACUGAAACUCAAAGGAAUUGACGGGGGCCCGCACAAGCGGUGGAGCAUGUGGUUUAAUUCGAAGCAACGCGAAGAACCUUACCAGGUCUUGACAUCCUCUGACAACCCUAGAGAUAGGGCUUUCCCUUCGGGGACAGAGUGACAGGUGGUGCAUGGUUGUCGUCAGCUCGUGUCGUGAGAUGUUGGGUUAAGUCCCGCAACGAGCGCAACCCUUGAUCUUAGUUGCCAGCAUUCAGUUGGGCACUCUAAGGUGACUGCCGGUGACAAACCGGAGGAAGGUGGGGAUGACGUCAAAUCAUCAUGCCCCUUAUGACCUGGGCUACACACGUGCUACAAUGGACAGAACAAAGGGCUGCAAGACCGCAAGGUUUAGCCAAUCCCAUAAAUCUGUUCUCAGUUCGGAUCGCAGUCUGCAACUCGACUGCGUGA
rnacentral:rRNA from 1 species